ensembl:snRNA U6 U6 spliceosomal RNA
GUACACUUUCGCAGCACAUAUAUUAAAAUUAGAACAAUUCAUAGAAAAUGGUCAAGAUUGGGUCUGAAACCUGGUUCCUACACAAAGCAUGACAUGCAAAUUCAUGAAAUGUCCUAUAUUUUU